UGCCAGCCGCCGCGGUAAUACUGAAGGUGCAAGCGUUCAUCGGAAUCACUGGGCGUAAAGCGCUCGUAGGUGGCUUUGUAAGUCAGAUGUGAAAGCCCACGGCUCAACCGUGGAAUUGCAUUUGAUACUGCAUCGCUAGAGUAUAGGAGAGGGAAGUGGAAUUUCUGGUGUAGGAGUGAAAUCCGUAGAGAUCAGAAGGAACACCGGUGGCGAAGGCGACUUCCUGGAACAUUAUUGACGCUGAGACGCUAAAGCGUGGGGAGCAAACAGGAUUAGAUA
rnacentral:rRNA from 1 species